rnacentral:sRNA from 2 species
CGUCGGCGUUCGCCGCUUCUGUUAAGACAUCGAUCGACGGGCCCGGGGGAACCACUUUUCCGGCCCUUGGCCGUCGCCAGGGCCUCCGGGGUGAAGCCCGCAUUGCGCGGGCCGGGCGACUCCCGCCCGAACCCGACAGCUAACUCCGUCGGCUCUUCAGGAGAAUCU